CAACUUCAAAUCCCCCAGAAAGAGGCAUCAGUCCGUGAUUAUUACAAGCACACUCAAAGUUUAAACCACACUGUAUUUAACAUAGUUAACUAAUAUGCAAGAUGAAAGGCCAUCCGUGGGAUGCGAAAACAGCAUGGCUCUAGACUCUAGAAGCUGGCAUGCCUCGACAAGCCGCUCCCUUCGGUCGUCAAUGUGCUGCAAAAGAGCCCAGAACCGAAGCCAAUGUGUCCCCCUGAAAAGCACCUGCAAAAAAAAAUUUGUCUGCAAUUGUUAAACACAGUAUCAUUCCUUGUGAGCCAAAUUGCCCAACAUAUAGCAGUGGCUCCUAUCAAUAACAUUUCAUUGUGCUUGUGUCCCAUGCUUAGAUAUUGACGGCAGUUAGCACGCUAAAUUGUGAACCGCAAGUGCACGGAUCAUCGUAGAUUUUUCCUUAGAGUAUUCCAUUCAAUGUUUAUUAAUCUGUGGAUCGACAGCGAAUUGACUAGGGUACUCUAUCUAAUCUAACGGAUCUAUCCUAAUAUGAAACAUAGAUUGCAUAUGAGAGUAGACUAGAUGUAAAGAUUAAUGGUUUGAACAAGGGUAGAUCACAUCCACAUAUACAUAUAAGAUAACACCACCAAAGGUAGAAAGAGCCUAUCAUCUUCUAGUUGUAGUUCUAGCCAGACAAGCAAGCACAUCACGCAUCUCAUUCAAAGAAAUCUUUAAACUACUACCUCCGGUCAACCUCCCAAAAACCCCCACCUUACACAAGCCAGAUCCUAUCACGGUCCUCUCUAUCGACGCAGGCAGUCUAAGGGCACGAACACAAGGUGAACGUGUCUAGCUAUCAUGAAGGGUGAACAUACUAGAUCUAAUCACCAUGAUUAUAUAAAGCAUGCUAUGUAGUCUAAACUAGCAUUAGACUGAGGAACAAGCAUAUUCAUGAUAGAAAGAAAGCAUAAAAGGAGACAACGAGUCGCUAAUAGAUCAGAUGACAUGAAGGACAUUGUUCAUAUGAUAGAUGUAUUUAGAUCAUCACCUAUGAGUACAUACCAUUGAUGAUCACAACUAGCUCCUGAACUCCACCAUGGCACAACCACGUAGGAAGGUCAUGACGGUUAGGGUCGGCAUAAGCCAUCUCCUAGACAACUUCGAAAACUUGCAACGACCCUAAACUCCCUCUAGUGAAUGUCCUUGGUUUCGUCGAGUUCUGGUGGAUGGAUCCCCAUGCCAAUAUAAUUUUAGGCAUAUUUAUAGUCCGAAGGACCCGUGGUAGAAAUUGGAAGGCAAGGGGAGCAAGUAAAGCCCCAAGCCGAUCGCCCUAGCCCUUCCUUUUAUCCCCUCGCACCUAAUUUCAUCGCCAAGUCUUCUCUGAUGUUCUGGAAGCUUAUUUUCACAUGCAUGUGGGCCUGACACGUUGAUGGCUUUGGGAUGAGGUUGAUCCUUGAUGUCUUUCCAAAUCUCCGCUUGAUUCUCCUUUGACCUUCUUUGAUCGCGAGUGCAUCUUGCCAUAUCCUUGCAAACUUAACCCUUAAGUAAUCUUGGAGGAGUGUUUGCCAAAUAUGAGCAUCGGAGGAGGCUAGAAGACCCCUAGCCGAUCGGGUUGGGCUCCACCGGGCUGAUCGGCCUAGGCUCUUUCUGAGCUUGCUAACCUUCAUUUUUGAUAGGUUUAUUGCUCAUUCAGGGUUUUAUCCAAAAAUAUACUUUUAGUUUCAAUUUCUUGCAAAAAUAGAAUAUCUUCCAAAAUACAAUGCAUAUGCGAAAACGGAGUUAUUUCAGGUGCCAAGUGGUAGGUUAGUAUAAGAAUAUGUAUGAAAACACCACUUAAAUGGCACUAAAAGUGUGUCAAUAAUGAGUGUCAACAUUAAGCCAACUAGUAAACAGAUUGUCUGAGUUUACCAGUGGUGGUAUACCUAACACAAUGUGAAUUGCACACUAUAAAAUUUUUGCAUAAUGACAUUUGAAAAACAGAUGUUGGAUAGUUUCCUGCUUACUACAAAAACAGCAAGCUUUAUUGCUGUUCCAAUUCCUUCUAGCUAAAUUAUCUUUUGUGAGGAUCACUUCCCUUUUAAGAUACCACAUUAAAAUUUUUAUCUUGAGAGGAAUCUUUAUACACAAAAUUUCUUGUGUAGCUUUAAUACCGUUAUUGACAAGGUGUCUAUACAUUGAGUUAACUGUAAACUUCCCGUUCCUAUGUAGAUUCCACAUAAAUAAAUCCAUCUCCUCAUUUAGAUUAAUAUGUACAAGGCUUACGACAAGGUUAUACCAUUCGGUUAACUUAUCCCCAACCAAGGGUCUCCUAAAGGAGACAUUAAGUGGGUUAGAGCUAAGCACCUCCGCAACAAUUGCAUGCUUUCGCCGUACAAUAUUAAAUAGAUUAGGGAACUGAUCCUUUAGCUUCUGGUGCCUAACCAUUUAUCUUCCCAAAAUCUAAUUUGGUUACCGCUAGCUAGUUUGAACCUUCCUAGAUUUAGGAAUUGGUCUUUUACUUCCAUCAGACUUAACCAGAAAUGUGAAUCCCGUGAUUUUUUACUUGUUUAGCUUAAAGUUUUAUUCUUUAGAUAUUUUUUUCUAAUCAAAUCUUGCCACAAUCCUUCUUCGAUACACAAUUUAUCAAGCCAAUAUUCCGUUUGACCAACCUAUUUCUUUUUAUGUUGGCCAUUCUGCCGAAAGAACCUUGACUAUAGUAUUCAAUUUUUUUAAGGACUCCCCUUGGAACCUCAAAAAAACAUAGCAAUAUAGGUAGACUAGAGAGAACCAAAUUUAUUAGGACUAAACACACCCUGUAGAUAGGAGUUUUCCUUUCCAGCCCCUCAAUCUUUUUUCUAUUAUGUUACCUACCAAUAUUUGUUUGACAACUUUCUAUAAUGCAUUGGGAUUCCUAAAUAGCGAAAAGGAUAAGAACCUAUUUUACAACUGAAUAUUUGCGAAUAUUGAGUUUCCCCAUCCCUCGCAUCCCCAAAGAAGAAUAUUUCACUUUUGUAAAAUUAAUUUUAAGACUAGAUAAUUGUUCGAAAAGCACAAAGGAUAAGUUUCAUGUUCUUUGCCUAUUCGAUAUCAUGGUCCAUAAAAAUAACUGUAUCAUCUGCGUAUUGGAGGAUAGAUAAUCCGUUGUCAAUUAAAUUUGGCACCACCCCUUUCACUUGACCAUCCUCUUUGACUCUUUCUAUGAUGAUUGCCAACAUAUCCACUACGAUAUUAAAAAGUAUUGGGAUAGUGGAUCACCUCCCUUUUUAGUUUGAAAGUAUGGUCCAACUUGAUCAUUCACCUUUAUCCCCACGUUCCCUCCUUGUACAAAAGAUUUAACCCACUCGCACCACUUUAGGUCAAAAUCUUUCUCUAAGAGUUUGUUGUAAAAAAAUCCUAAUUAACUUUGUCAUAUACUUUUUUAAAGUCUAUCUUGAAUAUUAGUCCAUUUUAUUUUUUUUUGUGUGAAGUUCAUGAAUUGUUUCAUGAAGGAUCACCGCCCCCUCCAUAAUGUUUCUUCCAAGCAAAAAGUUGUUUGUGUUGGUUUAAUAAUUCUUUGGGCAACCUUUGUAAUCAUGUUAGUGGCUACCUUAGUGAAGAUUUUGAAGCUCAUAUUCAACAAACAGAUAGUUCUGUACUGUUGAAUUUGCUUUGCAUCUGUACUUUUAAGUAGUAAGAUAAUUGUUCCAAAAUUGAGGGAGCGAAGUGGCAAUGAGCUCUUAUGGAAUUUCUCAAACAGAGCCAUCAAAUCUCCUUUUAAUACAUUCUAGAAUACUAGGUAGAACUCUGGUGGGAAACCAUCUGAUCCGGGAGCAGUAUUAUUUUUCAUUUGUACCUCGCUUUCAGAAAAGGUUGCAACCAGAAACUCAUUUUCCCCUGUUGAAAUUUGAGGAAUAUCAUCACGGAACGACUCGUCCGUAUACACAAAGUCGUUUUCCAACGGCCGAACAAAUUUUUAUAAUACUUGGUGAUAUAUCUUUUAAGUCCUCCUGUUCAAGUUGGAAGAUUCGAGUUUUUCUGUGCUUACCGUUUGCCACUAACGAAGUAUUUUGUACAAUGCUAAUUACGGUUAUACGAUGCGCAGAUCGAGAAUCGGAGAAACAAAUACCGAUGCACUCAGAACGUAAAAGGACCAACUGAAACCCUACCGUGGGAAAAUCCAGCGGAGAUGCGCAGUAACAAGUAACAACCUGAUCAAAAGGGAGAGGGGCGGAAUUGCGGAAGGGUUUCGCCAUUUACCUCGAGGAGCUCAUGCGCGUAGGCCUGCGCGAAGUGUGUCCUGAGCAUCUCCAUGGGUCUGCUCCGGCGACGCGGGCGCCGAUGGCGACGAGUCCAUCCAUGCCGCCGCCGGCGGGGCUUCCCCUCUGCGCUCCCUCUUCUCCGCCAUGCCGGUGGUCUCGCCUCGUCGCUGUGGGCCGAAAUCCCAUCAAGGCCUAUCUUCUUCAGCCAUUGUUGGGCCGUAUGGGCUGCAAACGAAAAGAGAGAUCAUGGGCCGUACGACGAAGUACAUAGACCGACACGGCGCGCGUAGCACGACAGCGACGGCGUCGCGUCCGUGUCAACCGGGGACAGCGAUGGAAC
rnacentral:lncRNA from 1 species